AGAGUUUGAUCCUGGCUCAGGAUGAACGCUAGCGGCAGGCUUAACACAUGCAAGUCGAGGGGCAGCGGGGAGGAAGCUUGCUUUCUCCGCCGGCGACCGGCGCACGGGUGAGUAACGCGUAUCCAACCUGCCCGUCACCACGGGAUAGCCUGCCGAAAGGCAGAUUAAUACCGUAUGCGGUCCGAAGACGGCAUCAGAUUCGGACUAAAGGUUCAGCGGUGACGGAUGGGGAUGCGUCCGAUUAGGUAGUAGGCGGGGUAACGGCCCACCUAGCCAUCGAUCGGUAGGGGUUCUGAGAGGAAGGUCCCCCACACUGGUACUGAGACACGGACCAGACUCCUACGGGAGGCAGCAGUGAGGAAUAUUGGUCAAUGGUCGGGAGACUGAACCAGCCAAGCCGCGUGAGGGAGGAAGGUACAGAGUAUCGUAAACCUCUUUUGUCAGGGAACAAAGGCGGGGACGUGUCCCCGGAUGAGUGUACCUGAAGAAAAAGCAUCGGCUAACUCCGUGCCAGCAGCCGCGGUAAUACGGAGGAUGCGAGCGUUAUCCGGAUCUAUUGGGUUUAAAGGGUGCGCAGGCGGUCUGUUAAGUCAGCGGUCAAAGCCCGGGGCUCAACCCCGGCCCGCCGUUGAAACUGGCAGUCUCGAGUUGGAGAGAAGUAUGCGGAAUGCGCGGUGUAGCGGUGAAAUGCAUAGAUAUCGCGCAGAACUCCGAUUGCGAAGGCAGCAUGCCGGCUCCACACUGACGCUGAGGCACGAAAGCGUGGGUAUCGAACAGGAUUAGAUACCCUGGUAGUCCACGCAGUAAACGAUGAAUGCUGGCUGUCCGGGGGGAUUGACCCCUGGGUGGCGAAGCGAAAGCGAUAAGCAUUCCACCUGGGGAGUACGCCGGCAACGGUGAAACUCAAAGGAAUUGACGGGGGCCCGCACAAGCGGAGGAACAUGUGGUUUAAUUCGAUGAUACGCGAGGAACCUUACCCGGGCUCAAACGGGGAGUGACUCAGGCAGAGACGCCUGUUUCCCACGGGACACUCCCCGAGGUGCUGCAUGGUUGUCGUCAGCUCGUGCCGUGAGGUGUCGGCUUAAGUGCCAUAACGAGCGCAACCCCCGCGUGCAGUUGCUAACAGAUAACGCUGAGGACUCUGCACGGACUGCCGGCGCAAGCCGCGAGGAAGGCGGGGAUGACGUCAGAUCAGCACGGCCCUUACGUCCGGGGCGACACACGUGUUACAAUGGGUGGUACAGCGGGAAGCCAGGCGGCGACGCCGAGCGGAACCCGAAAUCCACUCUCAGUUCGGAUCGGAGUCUGCAACCCGACUCCGUGAAGCUGGAUUCGCUAGUAAUCGCGCAUCAGCCAUGGCGCGGUGAAUACGUAACCGGGCCUUGCACACACCGCCCGUCAAG
rnacentral:rRNA from 1 species